rnacentral:rRNA from 1 species
AAUGCCGCGUGGGUGAAGAAGGCCUGCGGGUUGUAAAGUCCUUUCAGUGGGGAGGAGGCUUUGCCUGAUUAAUACUCGGGCAAGGUGACGUUACCCACAGAAGAAGCACCGGCUAACUCCGUGCCAGCAACUUCGGUGACUGAGCGGGCUGGCAAGGCGCAUA